rnacentral:rRNA from 1 species
CGUGAAACCGUCCAGGGAUAAACCUGGGGACCUUGGCAGUUCGAACGGGCGGGCAUUCAUCACUCCGGUGAACCGACCGGCAGCUUCGAGCGUCGCAUUCGUGCGCGUCUCUGUGGCUGUCGGNNUUCGGCCGCCGAGUGUGCAUUUGCCCUGCCCGAGUAGAAACACUGCGAGCCGUUGGAUGGGCGUCGGUGGCCGGUGACGAAGUUCGUUUUGGGGUUUCGGCCUCUUUUCGAGCUCGCCGCGCUUGGCCUCGUCCGACGGUGAAUCGAUGACGCGAGCCCGCACCUCGGCGUGCGUUCGGCUCUCGACAAGCGGCGGCGGUGUUCCGGCAGUUCGGUGCUUCGGCCCCGGCGUCGGACCCGUCACGUUAUUAGUCGGGAUGCUCUCGGACCGUGGCUCCGUCGUUCGCCAGUGAGUUUGGCCGCAGGCACCCUCAGGACCCGUCUUGAAACACGGACCAAGGAGUCUAGCAUGUAUGCGAGUCUCAAGGGAACUCGAUACCCUCAGGCGCAGUUAACGCAAAUGACGCUUCGCGUCCUAAUGGAGGAUAGGUGACCGCACGCGGUCG